rnacentral:lncRNA from 1 species
CUUUCGGAGCUGUGCGGCAUUCUGAGCAGGAAUGGCAGUGUGGACCUCUGUGAUGGGACAUCUUGUGGGAUCUCACAGCCAGUUCUGUGGCAAAGGAGGAUGAAGGCUUACGAGGUGCUAGAAUAGAAGACCAGAAAAUGAAAUGGUGGAGUUUGAGGCUGGAUAGACAGUUUGAAAGGUACAAAUAAUGGUUUGAAUAAAGAAAGGUAUUAAUGGGUCACCUCAAGUGAAGGCACUGCAAACACAAUGAUUGGUCAUUCUGAAUUUCCGGUCCUUCAUUCUGAAUUUCAAAGGCUCCUGUGACAAGUGGACAUGCAGUGACUGCACCUUUGUUUCUGAGGUGCCUGGAUGGAGGCUCAAAUAGAAGAUGGUGUCAGAUAUAUUGUGUUAAAAUUUUACCAUUAAAGUGUAUUAUAACAUGAA